AGAGUUUGAUCCUGGCUCAGGACGAACGCUGGCGGCGUGCCUAAUACAUGCAAGUCGAGCGAGCUUGCCUAGAUGAUUUUAGUGCUUGCACUAAAUGAAACUAGAUACAAGCGAGCGGCGGACGGGUGAGUAACACGUGGGUAACCUGCCCAAGAGACUGGGAUAACACCUGGAAACAGAUGCUAAUACCGGAUAACAACACUAGACGCAUGUCUAGAGUUUGAAAGAUGGUUCUGCUAUCACUCUUGGAUGGACCUGCGGUGCAUUAGCUAGUUGGUAAGGUAACGGCUUACCAAGGCAAUGAUGCAUAGCCGAGUUGAGAGACUGAUCGGCCACAUUGGGACUGAGACAAGGCCCAAACUCCUACGGGAGGCAGCAGUAGGGAAUCUUCCAAAAUGGACGAAAGUCUGAUGGAGCAACGCCGCGUGAGUGAAGAAGGGUUUCGGCUCGUAAAGCUCUGUUGGUAGUGAAGAAAGAUAGAGGUAGUAACUGGCCUUUAUUUGACGGUAAUUACUUAGAAAGUCACGGCUAACUACGUGCCCAGCAGCCGCGGUAAAUACGUAGGGUGGCAAGCGUUGUCCGGAUUUUAUUUGGGCGUAAAGCGAGUGCAGGGCGGUCCAAUAAGUUUGAUGUGAAAGCCUUCGGGUCAACCGGAGAAUUGCAUCAGAAACUGUUGAACUUGAGUGCAGAAGAGGAGAGUGGAACUCCAUGUGUAGCGGUGGAAUGCGUAGAUAUAUGGAAGAACACCAGUGGCGAAGGCGGCUCUCUGGUCUGCAACUGACGCUGAGGCUGGAAAGCAUGGGUAGCGAACAGGAUUAGAUACCCUGGUAGUCCAUGCCGUAAACGAUGA
rnacentral:rRNA from 1 species